CGAUGUCACAGGAGCGAUGUCGUACUGACUCGAGCAGUUUAAGUGGAGCAGCAGUUGCAUACGAUGCCCCAGGCACUGCUAGGUCCACAGCGUAUUCCGCGUACGUUCCUGCAUCAGAGUUUUUCACCGACACAUGCCACACCGGAUAUGCUCCAUACUUGUCUGAUUGUACUAUUCAACAGCUGAACGGUAUGAAAACUGCUACAAGCACAAGGGCUUGCAUGAAUACACAUUGAUUGGUUUUGAUGUGCCAGUGGGUGGACGCAGUUUUCUUCGGACCAUGUAUUUAUCACAGCACGGCUGUGCUCUUUCAGAAAGCCCUGGACAGCCAACUGUACGAAUGCAGCAGCGACAUUCCACUCAGGGAAGGGACAGAGGGAGCACUUCAAAGUUUCACGCCACUGGUAGCAAUGCGGGGUGUACAGAGCACUUCCCACGGUCUGAGUCGUCUGGCAACUGUAGUGUGAGGCCCGGGUUUGGUACUACAGAACCUCGCCCUGAUCCUACAGCAUCAAGGGGU